UACGGAGGGUGCAAGCGUUAUCCGGAAUCAUUGGGUUUAAAGGGUCCGUAGGCGGGCUAAUAAGUCAGGGGUGAAAGUUUGCAGCUCAACUGUAAAAUUGCCUUUGAUACUGUUAGUCUUGAAUUAGUAGGAAGUGGUUAGAAUAAGUAGUGUAGCGGUGAAAUGCAUAGAUAUUACUUAGAAUACCGAUUGCGAAGGCA
rnacentral:rRNA from 1 species